rnacentral:misc_RNA from 1 species
GAUGAAGAACGCAGCGAAAUGCGAUAAGUAGUGUGAAUUGCAGAAUUCAGUGAGUCAUCGAAUCUUUGAACGCACAUUGCGCCCUGUGGUAUUCCGCAGGGCAUGCCUGUUCGAGCGUCAUUUCAACCCUCAAGCCCCGCUUGGUGUUGGGCCCCGCCCGCCGUGGCCGGCCCUAAAGACAGUGGCGGCGCCGCCUGGCCCUCAGCGUAGUACAGCUCUCGCUCCAGGGUCCGGCGGCCGCCUGCCAGAACCCCCCCAACUCUGUGGUUGACCUCGGAUCAGGUAGGGAUACCCGCUGAACUUAAGCAUAUCAAUAAGCGGAGGA